AUUGAACGCUGGCGGCAGGCCUAACACAUGCAAGUCGAACGGUAACAGGAAGCAGCUUGCUGCUUCGCUGACGAGUGGCGGACGGGUGAGUAAUGUCUGGGAAACUGCCUGAUGGAGGGGGAUAACUACUGGAAACGGUAGCUAAUACCGCAUAACUUCUCAAGACCAAAGAGGGGGACCUUAGGGCCUCUUGCCAUCGGAUGUGCCCAGAUGGGAUUAGCUAGUAGGUGGGGUAACGGCUCACCUAGGCGACGAUCCCUAGCUGGUCUGAGAGGAUGACCAGCCACACUGGAACUGAGACACGGUCCAGACUCCUACGGGAGGCAGCAGUGGGGAAUAUUGCACAAUGGGCGCAAGCCUGAUGCAGCCAUGCCGCGUGUAUGAAGAAGGCCUUCGGGUUGUAAAGUACUUUCAGCGGGGAGGAAGGGAGUAAAGUUAAUACCUUUGCUCAUUGACGUUACCCGCAGAAGAAGCACCGGCUAACUCCGUG
rnacentral:rRNA from 1 species